CUGAUGACCGAUAGUGAAGCAGUACCGUGAGGGAAAGGUGAAAAGAACCCCGGGAGGGGAGUGAAAUAGAACCUGAAACCAUGUGCCUACAACCGAUCAAAGCACCUUAUGUGUGUGAUGAUGUGCUUUUUGUAGAACGAGCCAACGAGUUACGGUAUGUAGCAAGGUUAAGUACUUAAGGUACGGAGCCGAAGGGAAACCGAGUCUUAAUAGGGCGACUAGUUGCAUGCUGUAGACCCGAAACCGGGUGACCUAUCCAUGGCCAGGUUGAAGCGAGGGUAAAACCUCGUGGAGGACCGAACCACGUUGCUUGAAAAAGCAUGGGAUGAGCUGUGGAUAGCGGAGAAAUUCCAAUCGAACUCGGAUAUAGCUGGUUCUCCUCGAAAUAGCUUUAGGGCUAGCGUCGGAAAAUGUGAGUAGUGGAGGUAGAGCACUGAAUAGGCUAGGGGGCAUAGCGCUUACCGAACCUUAUCAAACUCCGAAUGCCAUAUACUAUCAGUCCGGCAGUCAGACUGUGAAAGAUAAGUUCCAUGGUCAAAAGGGAAACAGCCCAGAUCGUCAGCUAAGGUCCCAAAGUGUAAGUUAAGUGGAAAAGGAUGUGGGAUUUCUAAGACAACUAGGAUGUUGGCUUAGAAGCAGCCACUCAUUAAAAGAGUGCGUAAUAGCUCACUAGUCAAGAGAUCCUGCGCCGAAAAUGUCCGGGGCUCAAACUUACCACCGAAGCUACGGGUUCACACUUAUGUGUGAGCGGUAGAGGAGCGUCGUAAUCGGGCUGAAGUCGUACCGUAAGGAGCGGUGGACUGAUUACGAGUGAGAAUGUUGGCAUUAGUAGCGAGAUGUAGGCGAGAAUCCUACAGGCCGAAUAUCUAAGGUUUCCUGAGUAAAGUUUGUCUUCUCAGGGUUAGUCGGGACCUAAGGCGAGGCCGAAAGGCGUAGUCGAUGGACAAUUGGUUGAUAUUCCAAUACCACUAUAAUCGUUAUUAUCGAUGGUGUGACGGAGAAGGAUAGGAUGUGCCAGCUAUUGGAUGCUGGUCUAAGCGUUAAGGGAGUCAGAGUAGGCAAAUCCGCUCUGGCAAUUCUGAGGCGUGAUGGGGAAGGUUCUACGGAACCGAAGUAUCUGAUUUCAUGCUUCCAAGAAAAGCAUCUAGAGAGAGAAGUAGUGCCCGUACCGCAAACCGACACAGGUAGAUGAGGAGAGAAUCCUAAGGCCGACGGAAGAAUUGCAGUUAAGGAACUAGGCAAAUUGACCCCGUAACUUCGGGAGAAGGGGUGCCUGAGAAAUCAGGCCGCAGAGAAUAGGCACAAGCAACUGUUUAACAAAAACACAGGUCUCUGCUAAAGCGAAAGCUGAUGUAUAGGGGCUGACGCCUGCCCGGUGCUGGAAGGUUAAGGGAAUAUGUUAGGGGUAACCCGACGCAUUGAACCGAAGCCCCAGUAAACGGCGGCCGUAACUAUAACGGUCCUAAGGUAGCGAAAUUCCUUGUCGGGUAAGUUCCGACCUGCACGAAUGGCGUAACGACUUCCCCACUGUCUCAACCAUAGACCCGGCGAAAUUGAAGUACGAGUAAAGAUGCUCGUUAGCUGCGGAAGGACGGAAAGACCCCAUGGACCUUCACUAUAACUUGAUGUUGAGUCUUGACCUGCAUUGUGUAGGAUAGGUGGGAGACUUG
rnacentral:rRNA from 1 species